CUACGUGCCAGCAGCCGCGGUAAUACGGAAGGUCCAGGCGUUAUCCGGAUUUAUUGGGUUUAAAGGGAGCGUAGGCUGGAGAUUAAGUGUGUUGUGAAAUGUAGACGCUCAACGUCUGAAUUGCAGCGCAUACUGGUUUCCUUGAGUACGCACAACGUUGGCGGAAUUCGUCGUGUAGCGGUGAAAUGCUUAGAUAUGACGAAGAGCUCCGAUUGCGAAGGCAGCUGACGGGAGCGCAACUGACGCUUAAGCUCGAAGGUGCGGGUAUCAAACAGGAUUAGAUACCCUGGUAGUCCGCACAGUAAACGAUGGAUGCCCGCUGUUGGUACCUGGUAUCAGCGGCUAAGCGAAAGCAUUAAGCAUCCCACCUGGGGAGUACGCCGGCAACGGUGAAACUCAAAGGAAUUGACGGGGGCCCGCACAAGCGGAGGAACAUGUGGUUUAAUUCGAUGAUACGCGAGGAACCUUACCCGGGCUUGAAUUGCAGAGGAAGGAUUUAGAGAUA
rnacentral:rRNA from 1 species